CCCAUAGCUCAGUGGUAGAACAUCUGCCUGCAAAGCAGAAGAUGAAGGUUUGAUCCCUGGG
rnacentral:tRNA from 1 species